UUUGCUUCUUGACCUUUUGGCUAAGAUCAAGUGUAGUAUCUGUAUUUAAUAUCUGAUACAGCCUCUAUUUGAGGACAACAUAUUAAAUGGACUUUGGGAGCAGGGAGAUAGAAUAGGAACUGGUCCAUUCUCUCUAAGCAUAGGAUUGGUGUUGCGGGACCUUCAGAAAUGAUGCACACCCU
ensembl:snRNA U2 U2 spliceosomal RNA